ensembl:ncRNA F09G8.12 ncRNA
GCGGAAGAGAUAUAUGUGUCCCUCUUUGCUGUCCCCGCCUUCUUUUUUAUUCUUUCUUGUUGUUGUGCGGGGGAGGGGGGUAUCCCUUGACUUGUAUCAUCGCUUUUGCACUUUGUUAGCAACGAUCCCGACAGAGGGAAGGUCAAU